AGAGUAAGCGAGAUGGUUGCGGGCUGCUAACCCCAGUCCGAGGAAAGUCCGGGCUUCCGAAAGACCAAACUUGCUGGCUAAUCACCAGUGCGAGCGAUCGCGAGGAUAGUGCCACAGAAACAUACCGCCCUCAGCACUGCAGAUUUUGGAUUGAGGAUUUGAGAUUCAACCAUGAAUCUCAAAAUUCAACAAUCAACAAUCCCUGAGGGUAAGGGUGCAAAGGUGCGGUAAGAGCGCACCAGCAGCAUCGAGAGGUGCUGGCUCGGUAAACCCCGGUUGGAAGCAAGGCAGAAGGAGCAACGGUUGGUCUUUUACCAGCUCCAGUAGGAGGCAACUCCUGCGAGUCCGCUAGAGGUGUCUGGCAACAGCCAUCCCAGACAGAUAACCAUCCCCCAAUUGGGAGAACAGAACCCGGCUUAUGUCUUGCUCUUCCC
rnacentral:RNase_P_RNA from 2 species